AGUCAGUCUGUAAAUCGACCUCAAACAAAUUGCAACAGAAAAUAUUUUACCUGGUAUAGAAAGUAAAUGGAAUAACAUGAAUCAUAUCAAAAGUCUAGCAAAAUCUAAGUUGCGCAACAUUGAAAAAAAACGGGUUUUUAUCGCGUUAUUUUUUGUGAUUUUUUUCUGACGACAACGGUCUUCCAUAGGCGAACAAAGCGUCUCCGAUACUCAGAAUAGCGACUGCAUAAUGGUGACAACAACAACAAAAUAUGUGUAAACAAAAUUAAUGUCAGUAAAGUACACUGUAAAGUGGGUUGGUAUAUUUUCCUUAAAAUAUUACAGAUCAUAAUAGGAAUUAUUAAUGUGGGGUCGUAAGUUUAUUAUGAGUAUUUGUUGAAGAUUAUUACUUGUUUUACCAGUUCUUUAUCCGUUGAAGGUCAACAGGUGUUUCAAGUGAUCUGUAUUAUACUUUUCAUGGAAAACAGUUUAAUUUAUAUAAAUUACAACUCUGAUUAACUCCUGUCUUAGUAAACAUUCAAAAACGGCCUAAAAAUGUGUAUUUAUAACAAGUUAAUUUCGACAGUAUUUUAAACUAUGGAACGCCAUUAUCACGUUAAUUAUGACGAAUUACGUUAAAUAAAGUCUGAAUACUUUAAUCAUGUUUUAUUGUUAAAUUUGAAUUCAAGGUUGGGUUUUUUUUGUAUUUUUUAAUAGUUUUUUUAAAAUUGUUUUACAUAUAUAAUGUAUGUAAUGUUAUUAUUAUUUCAGGGGUACCGCUUUGAGGUAGUCUUCAUUGAUGUAUGCUUGAUUUUGAAAAUAAAAAAAAUCCAGUAAACUAUAUGUACACUAAAUGAGUAAGUUUGCUUUCCUGUGCUUACAUUUGUAAUAUUUUUACAUAUAUAACACAAAUAUCAAACAUUAUCUUUUACUAGUAAGUUUAAGUGAAUAUUAAACAUGGAGGAAAUAGAGUCGUAUGCAUAAUUCAAUAUAUCUGAAAUUAUUUUCAGUUUUUAAUAGACAUAGAAGAAAUUUAUACAUGAAAAGGUGACAUGAAAAAUUUAUCAAUAAACAAACGUGAUUUCUAGUUAUGGUUCAUGAUUGGCGACGUGUAUGAGUUCAAGAUUUCAUCAACACACCAGAGCCAAUGGGUAUGCCCGAUCAUGUGUUCUGAGGACACUGUGAUGUAUACGAGUUAAAGAUGAACUCCUGUCGGAUUUGUUAACGGCUGUUUGAUGAUCAUACAAAGACAGUUAAAGGCAACGAAAAGGAAUGCAAGGGAAUAAAUGCUGCCAGUGAGAAAUAAAAUGACAGUUUAAAAGUUGAAUCGGAAUAAUAUAUUCACAUUGAGUGUAGAAAGAUGUACUGUAACCCACAUUACACUAAAAGAGACACUAAGACAGAAAAAGAAAACACUGAUGCCACCAUUGAGAUCAAUGACUGAUAAGUUUUCAUACAAAAAAGAUUGUUUAUAUUGUGGUCAAUCUGUAAUAAGUAAGGGUAAAACAAGGAAGUGUGAUGUUUCGCCAGUAAGGACACUUGAAUAUAUGUAUACAGAGGAAUGACACUGUUUGUCUGAUAUAGUAAGAGCAAGGAUAGAACAGGUUCACGACUUGCUUGUAGCCGAUGCUCUUUACCAUCAAACAUGUUUAUGCUCCUCUAAUUUCAGAACUGGAAAAGAUAUACCAGAAGAAUUUCAGGUGCUACCAUCUAGUGAUAAAAAGUGAAAGAUUGGUCGAGCAGAAAUUACAGAAGCGAGUGACGCUUUGUAAAAGUCAUGACAUUCUUGUGCUUAUGCUUAGCGAAGAUAUUUUACAAAUUAAAAUUUGCAUUUUUUUUUUUUUAAAUUUUAUGCUCAAAUGUAUCAAAUAUUUGAAAUUGACCUUCCAAAAGGUCAAUGUCACCUCUUUUGACCCAAUGUCAUGAUGUUAUAUAAUGACUCAGAAAAAAAUACAACAGAUGUGCUUGAAAGUAUUCAAGUUAAUAUAAAACUCAAUAUUAUUAUCAUAGAUAAUAUAGAUUUCCUUAAUGUUUCUUUUUUUGUAUAAAAUUACCCCACCCACUAGCUGUACAAUGUUAAUAUAAAUAUUUCAAUAUAUGCAUUAAAUAUUGAUGGAAUGUAAAUUAAAUUUAUAAAACGUUGAAACUUGAUAGUUUUCACAUGUACGUAAACCAUUAUGUAUUUUCUGUUUAAUAUCAUAUAACAUAGAGCUUUCAAUAAAUUGUUGAUCUACAGCAAUGUAAAAAUAUAAUAUUACCCCACCCACUUAAGUUAAUUAAUAAAUUUUAGAAAGGUAAAAGUAGUUUCUUUAAACAAAAACAACUUUUUGAUUACUUUAUGUUACUAUAGGGAUAGAUUAAGCUAUAUUUUUAUGCAUAUUAUAUAUAAAACUGAUUGGAAAAUUGUAUGUGUGUAUUACAUUGAGUUCAAAUUAAAAAAAAUAAAUACAAUGAUACCCAUAUAUUUGAUCUCAAUUUUUGAAAACAUUCUCCAAUUUAGAUUUUUCUAGACUUUUGAUAUGUUAUACAAUAUAGGUCUGGGGUGUCAAAACACUCAAAAUAUUUUCUGUUGCAAUUUGUUUGAGGUUUGGCUCUAUUUUGAGCUAGAAUGACUG